GCAGAACUCUGGGUGUCUCACCAUGGCCUGGAUCCCUCUACUUCUCCCCCUCCUCACUCUCUGCACAGGCUCUGAGGCCUCCUAUGAGCUGACACAGCCACCCUCGGUGUCAGUGUCCCCAGGACAGACGGCCAGGAUCACCUGCUCUGGAGAUGCAUUGCCAAAGCAAUAUGCUUAUUGGUACCAGCAGAAGCCAGGCCAGGCCCCUGUGCUGGUGAUAUAUAAAGACAGUGAGAGGCCCUCAGGGAUCCCUGAGCGAUUCUCUGGCUCCAGCUCAGGGACAACAGUCACGUUGACCAUCAGUGGAGUCCAGGCAGAAGACGAGGCUGACUAUUACUGUCAAUCAGCAGACAGCAGUGUGUUGGGUGUUCGGCGGAGGGACCAAGCUGACCGUCCUAGGUCAGCCCAAGGCUGCCCCCUCGGUCACUCUGUUCCCACCCUCCUCUGAGGAGCUUCAAGCCAACAAGGCCACACUGGUGUGUCUCAUAAGUGACUUCUACCCGGGAGCCGUGACAGUGGCCUGGAAGGCAGAUAGCAGCCCCGUCAAGGCGGGAGUGGAGACCACCACACCCUCCAAACAAAGCAACAACAAGUACGCGGCCAGCAGCUACCUGAGCCUGACGCCUGAGCAGUGGAAGUCCCACAAAAGCUACAGCUGCCAGGUCACGCAUGAAGGGAGCACCGUGGAGAAGACAGUGGCCCCUACAGAAUGUUCAUAGGUUCUCAUCCCUCACCCCCCACCACGGGAGACUAGAGCUGCAGGAUCCCAGGGGAGGGGUCUCUCCUCCCACCCCAAGGCAUCAAGCCCUUCUCCCUGCACUCAAUAAACCCUCAAUAAAUAUUCUCAUUGUCAAUC
rnacentral:lncRNA from 1 species